rnacentral:rRNA from 1 species
AGCUCCAAUAGUGUAUAUUAACUUUGCUGCAAUUGAAAAGCUCGUAGUUGGAUUUUGGGACUUUUAGCAGGCGGUCGGGUGUAAACUCGGUACUGCUCGCUGGGUUCUUCUGUCUGGAAGGGGCGCGGUCUCUCUUCAUUGUUGAGGCCGCGGCCUUCUGGGACCCUUACUUUGAACAAAAUAGAGUGUUUAAAGCAGGCGGCUUCGCCUUGAAUACAUUAGCAUGGAAUAAUCACAUAGGACUCCGAUGUCAUUUGUUGGUUUUUAUCAGACUUCGGAUUAAUGAUUAAAAGGGACAGUUGGGGGUUUCAGUACUUCUUCGUUAGAGGUAAAAUUCUUAGAUCGAAGAAAGACUAACUUCUGCGAAAGCAUUAGCCAAGGAUGUUUUCAUUAAUCAAGA